rnacentral:rRNA from 1 species
UACGUAGGGGGGCAAGCGUUGUCCGGAUUUAUUGGGCGUAAAGAGCGUGUAGGCGGCUAGAUAGGUCCGUUGUGAAAACUCGAGGCUCAACCUCGAGACGUCGGCGGAAACCAUCUGGCUAGAGUCCGGAAGAGGAGAGUGGAAUUCCUGGUGUAGCGGUGAAAUGCGCAGAUAUCAGGAGGAACACCAGCGGCGAAGGCGGUGCUCUGGGCCGGAACUGACGCUGAGGAGCGAAAGCGUGGGAGCGAACAGGAUAGAUACCCCUGU